rnacentral:rRNA from 1 species
GGAAUAUUGGGCAAUGGGCGGAAGCCUGACCCAGCCAUGCCGCGUGCAGGAAGACGGCGUUAUGCGUUGUAAACUGCUUUUGCACGGGAAGAAAACGCCACUGCGGUGGAACUUGCCGGUACCGUGCGAAUAAGCACCGGCUAACUCCGUGCCAGCAGCCGCGGUAAUACGGAGGGUGCGAGCGUUGUCCGGAUUUAUUGGGUUUAAAGGGUGCGUAGGCUGCCAGAUAAGUCAGCGGUGAAAGUCAGUGGCUCAACCAUUGGAGUGCCGUUGAUACUGUCUGGCUUGAGUACGGGAGAGGUACAUGGAAUUUAUGGUGUAGCGGUGAAAUGCAUAGAUACCAUAAGGAACACCGAUAGCGUAGGCAUUGUACUUGCCCGUAACUGACGCUGAGGCACGAAAGCAUGGGUAGCGAAC